rnacentral:rRNA from 1 species
UACGGAGGGGGGCUAGCGUUGUUCGGAAUUACUGGGCGUAAAGCGCACGUAGGCGGCUUUGUAAGUUAGAGGUGAAAGCCCGGGGCUCAACCCCGGAAUAGCCUUUGAGACUGGAUUGCUAGAAUCUUGGAGAGGCGAGUGGAAUUCCGAGUGUAGAGGUGAAAUUCGUAGAUAUUCGGAAGAACACCAGUGGCGAAGGCGACUUACUGGACACAUAUUGACGCUGAGGUGCGAAAGCGUGGGGAGCAAACAGG